rnacentral:rRNA from 1 species
GUAUCAAUAAGCGGAGGAAAAGAAACCAACAGGGAUUCCCUUAGUAACGGCGAGUGAAGCGGGAAAAGCUCAAAUUUGAAAUCUCUCGGGUUUCCCGAGCGAAUUGUAGUUUAUAGAAGCACUUUCGGUUGAAGCCUUGGUUCAAGUCCCUUGGAAUAGGGCGCCGCAGAGGGUGAGAGCCCCGUAAAGCCUUGGAAAGUAAGCCAUGUGAGGUGUUUUCGAAGAGUCGGGUUGUUUGGGAAUGCAGCCCUAAAUGGGAGGUAAAUUCCUCCUAAAGCUAAAUAUAGGCAAGAGACCGAUAGCGCACAAGUA